rnacentral:lncRNA from 10 species
AUUGCCCUGGCCAGAACUUUCAACACUAUGUUGAAUAAGAGUGGUGAGAGAGAGCAUCCUGGUCUUGUGCCAGUUUUCAAGGGAAUGCCUGCAGCUUUUGCCCAUUCAGUAUGAUAUUGGCUGUGGAUCUGUCAUAAAUGGCUCUUAUUAUUUUGAGGGCCUCUCCAGAUACAGCACUAGAAUGACUUUUCUCUCUUCAAUGUAUUAUUUAUGGGAUUUUAAGUUAUUCUUUCUUCGGUGUGAAACCAAAACUUUCUUGUGCACUGCAGCAGAUGCGGCAGGAACCUAGCCGGCAACACUUCAUCUCACCCAGAAGAGAUCCAGACUCCUUCCUUGAGUGGCCUGGGCCUGCUUCCUCCUCCCUCUCUUCUCUCCAUGAACUUCAUUACAGCAACUCGGGUUUUUCUGCUGUUCCUCAAAUAUUCCAAGUUUGAUCCUGCCUCAAGGUUUUGCACUUCCCUCUGCCUGGAACAGAAUCCUUGCCCAGAACUCUGCAGGACUUGCCUCCUUAUCUCCAUUCCAACACAACCCCUGAAGAAAGGCCUUCUCUUAUGAUUCUUUCGUUUUUUUUCAUAUCACAUGUUGCUUUUAAUGGCAUUAAAUUCACUGGGAAAAUAGUGAGUUGGGAAGCAACUCACUUUUACAGAUUAUGCUUCAGUUUCAACCGCAAGUUGGCUAUGGAUACAAGAGUUCUGCAAAACUAAAGUAUUCUCUGAGAAUCAAUUGGCUCUAUGGAAUUAACGAAAAAGAAUAUUGCUCAUUUUAUUACUAAUUAUAGAUGAGGUCCUGCAAUGCUUCAUAUCAGUAAAAUUGAUGAUGAGUACAUGUAUACGUAUACGUAUACGUAUAUGUAUAUGUAUAUGUAUAUGUAUAUGUACUCCUCCCCAGCCAGCCGCUUAACAUGGACCAUCAGCCUGACCUUUAGGGUAAGUGGUUCCUGGCUUUCCUUUAUAAUUUAGUCACUUUUCAAUUUUCCUCUUACCUAGAUGUGACCCAGGCACCUCAGAGCCUGGAGAAGUCUCUGGCACAUAGUAGAUCUUUAAAAGAUGCUGCUGGAGUGGAUAAACUCCUGAGGAUUGCUAAUUUUACAGAGCAACCAGCAGUGACAAUACAAUUCUGAAUCUUUCAAUAAAAUGGCAGAAAAAGCCAGGGAACAUUAUGUUUUCUUGUUUUUUAAUCUCUGUAAACCUCCUUAAAUCUUUUUAGAGUCAACACAGUAUAAUUUUUUUUAAAACAACAACAACGAUAAUAAGAACUACCAUCGACUGUGUGCUUGGGAAAUGCCUAAUAAAUAGCAUUUUUCGUGUAGAAUCUCAUAAGUACAAUCUCUAAGAGUAGGUGAUACAAUAAAAAACGUAAAACACUUUUGAUAUGUACAAAAGUUUGUUUUAUCUUUUAGUAAUUCAAUUAUAAUUAAAACUAUUAUAUUUAAA